rnacentral:rRNA from 1 species
AUGGAUGUGCAUUCAGCUCCAUCUUGUCCUGUUAAGGCGAGGGCACCAGUUGAGCAUCUAGUUGGGCGGUUUGCUUCCGGCAUGACCAACUUGCUCGGGAAGUUGGUUGAGGGUUGGACGACACUUAAUGGCUCUGACAGCGAAGCGGUUGCGAGGCAGUUCACACCAUUUGUUGGAGAACGAACACAUCGGCCAACUGGUUGCCAUGACCGGUACGACUACAACAGCUCCCAGGAGCUCCCUGACACGCAAGAUGAACUAGAUGGAGAUGAUGGUCUCGACAAGGGCGAUGAUGACGACAUGGAGAAUGUGCAACAUGAAACCGAUGACGAUGAACAUGUUGAAGUUCGUGUAGGUGGUAAGAAGGACAAGGCUGCACCAGAUGUCCCCCCACCGGAGAAAGUCAUUGAACAGACAGUUGCGAGAGACAAGGGGGUGUCGCCCUCAAAGAGGGGCAGGGUUCCAGAGGAUGUUGGACAGGGCUCUGUUGGCAAGAGGUCUAGGACCGAUCCCAUAGUUGCUAGGAGGAGCGAGGCGACAGCUGGUGGACGAGCAGUUAAGAAGAAACAAGCACCAACGCCAACCCAUGUUUCUGCUCGAUUGAACAAGGGUGCUCCCACUGCUGGUGACACCACUUCCACUAGGUCGUCUCCUCGUACAUUGACGUCCAACACCGGGGAUCCUGUCGUGUUGGAAGACUUGAGGAAGACAAUCAAGAAGGUGAAGAAGACUACUACACGCGUGACCAAGCAGAACCCUAGAGACCCACUCGAACGCAUUCAUUCAAAGCUGUCGACAAGUGGCAACUCAAAUGUUCAUGAGGCGCCAGUCGAGAAAACUGUUGCUGCACCGUCCACUGUUCCCACUAGCUCUGAUGCAAGCGGUCGACCAUCUCCGCGCGGUUGCAGAUGUGCAGGCUACAAUAACAGGCAUCCGUACAUCUGGGAGUGA